AGGGCUGCACCCAUGGCCUGUGGAGAUUCCCAGGCUAGGGGUCUAAUCGGAGCUGUAGCUGCUGGUCUACACCACUGCCACAGCAAUGCCAGAUGAGAGCCGAGUCUGUGACCUACACCACAACUCAUGGCAACACCGGAUCCCUAACCCACUGAGCGAGGCUAGGGAUCGAACCUGCAUCAUCGUGGAGCCUAGUUGGUUUCGUUAACCCCUGAGCCACGAAGAGAAUUCUGUGUUGGCAAGGAUCUGGAGAAAUAGGAACCCUCAUACAUUGCUGAUAGAAGUGUAAAGUGACACAGCUGCUGUGGAAAGGAGUUUGAUGGAUCCUCAAGAUGUUAAACAUGGAGUUACUAUAUGACCCAGGUCGUAGGUAUAUACCCCAAAAGAAUUUAAAACAAGUAUUUAAACAAAAACUUACACUCGAAUGAUCAUAGCAGCACUACUCACAAACACCAAAAGAUGGAAACAACCCAAACGUCCAUCAGAUGAAUGGGUUAGCAAAUUGUGGUAUACCCAUAUGGGAGAAUAUAAUUCUGCCAUAAAAAGGAAUCAAGCACUGACAUAUGCUACAACAUAGAUGAACUUCAAAAAAUAAUGUGAAGCAAAAGAAACUAGAUGCAAAAGGUCACAUGUUUUAUAAUACCUUUUAUAUGCAAUAUCUAGAGUGGGUAAAUCCAUACAGACAGAGAGCAGAUUAGUAAUCGCCAGGGCCUGGGGAGAGGGGAAACAGAGAGCAAUGGCAUGAUGGGUACGGGGUGUUCUUGUGAGAUGAUUAAAAAAAAAAUUUGAAAUUAUGGAGAAGUGUUGGUUGUACAACAUUGUCAAUGCAUUAAAUUGUACAAAUAAUAAUAAUAGUAGUAAGAAAAGAGGGAGGGUUUAUUUCCUCUGCCCUUGAAUGAGGCUGGUCUUAGGACUCAUUAUGAUGCAGCAGAAGUGAUGUUCUGAGACUUCUGAGCCAGGCCUUAAGAAGCAUGGCAGCUUCUGCUUCUUGGAAGCUAGAUGCUGUGCUGUAAGAAGCCCAAGCUCUAUGGAGAGGCCACAUGGAAGUGAACUGAGGCCCCUCAGCCAACAGCCCCAGCUGACCUCCACACUGGCAGCCAGCACUGACCACCAGCCUUAUGUGAGUGAGGCCAUUUCAAAACCUUCCAGCCUUCCCAGUGCCCCCACAUGAAGCAGAACAGCCCUUUCACCCAACAGAAUCCUAAGGGCACCAGCUUGCCCCUGUUCCUACCCUCAUCCCAGCAGCUGCCCCUGUAUUUCUCUUGCCAUUUUGGGCAAACUCUCUCUUACCAUACCCUGAGUGAUGUCAGGGCAGGGACGAAGUCUUCCUUGUGUUUUCAGAGCCCAGCACAGACCCGGCACACAGUAGGUACUCAGAGAAUCCCAGGGGAACAGAGGUGGACAUUUGGUAGCGGGGGCUGCUGACCACCUCACAUCUGACCCAGGGCUGGUGUGUGUGAGAGACUCGGCUGUGAGCUCCCCCUCCUCCCUUCCCUGGCUACUAGGAAGGGCCUGGAGAAGAAGGAAGUCAGGGAGGGGUGGCUGGGGGCAGGGAUGAUAAACUGAAGGCUGGCAGAGUGCAGCCCUUCUUCAGGCACCCCACACCUCCCACCCAACCCCUGUACCUCACCAACUGAAUGUCUUUGUCCACCUCCCCAGGUGGCGUCAUGCAGGAGUUCGCCUGAGCUAUGCAGGCAGGCAGCCCAGGUUUCAAAUCCUGGCUCUGCUACCUCUUGGCAGUGACUUUACCAAGAGGAGUGACUUUACCUCUCUGAGCCUCACUCCCUUCAGCCAUAAAAUAGGGCACGAUAGUGGCUCCUCACAGGCUGUCAUGAGGAAUAGAUGAGAUGAUGUAGGUAAAAAGGCUUCACCUAGUAGCUGGCACAUGGCAGGUUCCCUGAAAUGUCAACCAACCUCUUCCUGCCAUACCGUGAGCUAUAGUGAUCUAGGCUUAGCACAGUGCCUGACACAUGGCAGGUAUUCAGCCAGAGCCUUAGGCAUGAAUAAGUGAGGAAUCUGGUGAGAAAACAACAACUGUAAUAACCACAGCUAUUAAUUCAAUCUUCAUAACCACUAAAGAGGUGGGUACUAUUAUUGUACCCAUUUUACAGAUAAUGUAAUUAAGGCCUAAGAGUAUGCAGGUCAUAAGUAGUGGAGGCUGGAUUUGAACCUAUAUAGUCUGAGUCCUUUAACCCUUUAACUACCACCCUGUAAAGCUUCUCAAAGUCCUGCCUCUCCUGUCAGAGUGGCUUCUAAGCAGCUUUCUUCUCUUUCUCUCUCUCUUUUUUUGGCUACACCCACAACAUGCAGAAUUCCCAGGUCAUGGAUUGAAACCAAGCCACUGCAGUGACAACACGGGAUCCUUAACCCAUUGAGCCAGCAGGGAACUCCUCUAACCAGCUUUCUGAUCUCAAGCAUGUGAACCUCCCUCUGGGCCUCAGGUUCCCCACAAGCCAAGGGAGGAUUGUAGGGGCCAGUGUGGAAGGGCACUUUGUGUUGAUCUAAGAGUCCAGGCCUGGCCAGUCUCUACCCAGUGCUGGUGACCUGCUGACCAGCCAGCCCCACCAGGGCCAGACUUUGCAUGGGCUGGACGGUCACAGGUGAGUCACUCGAUACUGACAGCUGCACUGUCCGCCCCCUACACUGGGGAGAGUCUGGCCUCUGCCUAUUCCCGGCCCCCCAGGGCUCCUGAGGGAAGCUGAGGCGGCCACCCCCAGAUGUCUAUUCCUGUCCCUGGCCUAGCGCCGUGCCGGGGAAGCAACAGCUAUUUUGAGACCCUUCUCCCUCCAAGGAUGAGUGGUGGGAAGGCGCCGGGAACAUCCCGAACUGGGAGGCCGCCCAUCCCAGCCUCGCCCUGGAUCUGGGCCAUACCAGCCCUGCAGCUCUGCCCCUUUUUCCAGUUCUGGUGAUGUGAUCAAUUCUGCUCACAGACACUAGUGGGAUAACCCAGAAGAACAGAUGGUGAAGGGCUUCUGCUAGAGGCUGGAGCACAGGGUGGGCUGGGCCUUCCCUUUGUGGGGGUGGGGGCAGGGACUGGAGCAGCAACAGCUGAACCCACCAGCUGGGAGAUGGAAUGGCUCCGAUCUUGAAAUCGGGGAAGACAGCAUUCAGGACAAUAUAUAAAAAUACUCCACAUUUCUUGAGCAUUCACAAGGAGACAGGCCCUGUUCUAAGCACUUCGCAUGGAGGUGAGUCAUAUAUUCUCAGAGAGGAAACUGAGGUUCAGAGAGGGGAACAGACUUUCCCAAGGUCACACAGCUGGUGCGUGGCUGAAGCAGGACUUGAACCCAGGUGAGCUGACUCUGAAGUCCAUGGUGUUUUUGUUUUUUGCUUUUUAGGGCCACACCCACGGCAAAUGGAAGUUCCCAGGCUAGCCACAGUCACGCCAGAUCUGAGCCACAUCUGCUACCUACGGCGCAGCUCUCAGCAAUGCCAGAUCCUUAAAUGCCUGAGUGAGGCCAUGGACCAAACCCACAUCCUCAGGGAUACCAGUUGGGUUCAGAAGCCACUGAGCCCUAUCAGGAAUUCCCUGGAGUCCAUGCUUUUAAUCACUCUUCUCCCCUCUGAACCUCCCAAGCCCAGGAGGCUAAUAUAAAUUAGGGGAAUGGCACUGCCUGGAGAGUCGCUCCCUCUUUGCAAUUUCCAGUCACGUGGCCUGGCCCGACCACCUCGGUGAGCUCAGCUUCCUGACUUGCAAAACAGGGACCAUGACAGAACCUAGGACCAGGGAUGAGGUAAAGAUUAGAAAGAAUAUACUUGGGGACUGGGCUCAGUAACACCUCUAAAUUAUGAAACUCACACAUGCGUGUGAUAAAAUGAUAUGGUACAAAAGAGGACACAGUAAAACGUGAGAUCCCCCUCCUACUUCACAAUCUUUAAGUGCUCUCCCACCACCAUGAGAGGUAACUACCCUCAAAGCUUUUGGGUCACCUUCUGGAAAUUUGCCAUGCACAUCAAGACAGAGAAGCCAAAUAGGAUAGUGGUUAAGGACAAGGAUCCCCUGAUCUAAAUCUUGGCCCUGGAGUUCCUAUUGUGGCGCAGUGCAAACCAUCCAACUAGUAUCCAUGGGGAUGGGGGUUCAAUCCCUGGCCUUGCCCAGUGGGUUAAGGAUCCAGUGUUGCCAAGAGCUGUGGUGUAGGUCGCAGACUUGGCUCAGAUCUGGCAUUGCUCUGGCUGUGGUGUAGGCUGGCAGCUGUAGCUCUUAUUCAACCCCUAGCCUGGGAACUUCCAUAUGCUGCAGGAGCAGCACUUUUUUAAAAAAGCAAAAAAUAAAUAAAUAAAUAAAUAAAAAUAAAAAAUAAAUCCUGGCCCUGCUGCUUCCUAGCUAUGUGAAGCUCGGGCGUUACUUAUCCUCCCUGAGCCUCAGUUUCCUCAUCUGUAAUAUGGGGUUGAUAAAACUAAGUCCCAAUAUUAUAGAGAGUUGUGAGGAUUAAAUGAGUCAAUCUAUGUAAAGCAUUUAGAAAGUUCUCUGGCACAUGGUUGUCCAAUAAAUAUAUACAUACAGUGGACGCUUUCUGGUGGACACUGAGGUGGGCUUUUGCUCUCACAAACAACGCUGCAAGACACAUCUUGUCCACCUGUAAUUGGGCACAAAUGCAAGAAUCUCUGUGGGAUAAAUUCCUGGCAGGAAAGGUGCUGGGUUAAACAGUAGCACCGUUAUAAUUUCAAUUAAAUUAGGAAUGAGAGCAUCCAUACAGCAGGCAGGGAAAAGGGAGGGAAAAGUGAGGAGCAAGAUGUGGUGUUCUGUCCCUGAGGUUCAGGGAGGUCCAUGCCUGCCCCAGCAUCCUGGAGGAUGCAGCCACUUCCCAGGCCACUGGCCAAGCAAAUGGAGGGUUUAAUUUUAUCCAGAUUGUCCCCAUAAAGUUUUUAUAGGGAAUUUGUUGAUUGGAUUAGAACAGCAAGAGCCCCCACUGAGCUGAUUAACAAAACCGCUGAGCCAUUUUCUUUUGCCACCAUCCACCAUGGUGGCAUCCAGGCUGAUGGGGACCCACUGGAUGCCAAAGCCACUUAGGCAGGCACCCCAACUGCAUAUGCCUUCUCUGAACAUCCUUCUAAGUUCCAGACAUCCCAGAAGAGGUAGAGAGCAAGGGGUCAAUUGCACAGGUUUGGGGGUAAGACAAAAGGUCUUUGCUGAAGAUAAUGUGUGACCUUGGGCAGGUCCCUUCCUUCCCUGAGCCUCAGAGAGUAAAGGGGCCUGUGUUCAUGGGGAUGUUGGGAAGACGAAAUGGAGUCAAGCACACCAAGUGCUCAGGAGAGUGUUUAGCACAAAGGAAGAACCUAAUAAAUAGUGUUCAGAACAUAAGGAUAAACAAUAAAGGCUCCUCUGGAUCUUAUCCCAUGCGGGAAGGCCCUGAGAACAAAGCACAAAGUAGUAGCUUCCUACCCUCACCUUAGGGAGCAUUUUAUUUAUUUAUUUAUUUAUUUAUUUUAUAUUGGGCACCCACAGCAUCUGGAAGUUCCAGGUCGUGAGAUUGCAGACCAGGGAUCUAAUCAGAGCUGCACCAGCCACCUAAGUGGCAAUGCUGGAUCCUUAACCCACUGCCAGGGCCAAGGGCAGAACCCAUGCCUCCACAAUGACCAGAAAGCCUGCAGUAGGAUUAUUAACCCACUGGCCACAGUGGGAACUCUUAUGGGAGCAUUUUAGCAGUUGCUCCAACCACCUCCUAGGAAUGCUCCAAAGUUCCCAAUCUGUGAAAUGAAUUCUGUGAUUUUCAUUUCCAAGUAAGCUUUAAAGGCCUUACUGGAGCUGAUACUUGGCUUUAGGUCUGAUCCAGAAAAGGCAAAUUGAGGGUGGGAACCCUCCGUGGGGAAGGAGGGGAAGAGCUCAAAGGAAGUUUCCCACUCCCACCCCCCAUUCCUUCAUUCAUCUGAUCUGAGAGCUACUCUUCCGAAAAGUCCCGGGAGUCACAACAACAGCAAGCACCUCUCCCAGCUUCGGUCCACUUCCUUACCUGUAAUGUGGGAUGAUGACGGCUGGAAGCAAAAGACGGUGAGCGGGCGCAGCAGUGGCAUUCGGUGGCGGGCGCGGCCGGGCGCACACUCGCCACAGCCAAGCGGAUCUCGCAGCCUGAGGCAGCCGCUGUCCACGCCCCCGCGGG
rnacentral:lncRNA from 1 species